UACGUAGGGUCCGAGCGUUGUCCGGAAUUAUUGGGCGUAAAGAGCUCGUAGGCGGUUUGUCGCGUCUGCUGUGAAAACCCGAGGCUCAACCUCGGGCCUGCAGUGGGUACGGGCAGACUAGAGUGCGGUAGGGGAGAUUGGAAUCCUGGUGUAGCGGUGGAAUGCGCAGAUAUCAGGAGGAACACCGAUGGCGAAGGCAGCCCCCUGGGCCAAUACUGACGCUCAUGCACGAAAGCGUGGGAGC
rnacentral:rRNA from 1 species